rnacentral:lncRNA from 1 species
UCCGACUCCUCAUUCUCUCCGUCGACUUCUUUAUCUCCGAUCUUAACAAAAGUCUUUUGUUUUCUACAGUUUUUAGAGUCUAUUCUCUUACAAGAUCAUCACUGUUUUUUAUUUACAGCUCGAAGAAAUCUGGUAAAAGCAAGAGACUUAGAAAGGGAGGUAAUCGUUUCUGGAAGAACAUUGGUCUUGGUUUCAAGACUUCCAGAGAAGCUACUAAAGGUAAUUAAUUACAUUGUCUUGAAUCUCGUUUGUGAUGUUAUAUGUUAUUGUUGAGUUUAAAUAUUUGAAGAUGCCCCUUGUCACUCUUGAUUCGGAUCCUCUAAUGUUACUGCUUGUGAUUGAUCCUAUAUUUCAUGGCUGAGCAAAUGCAGCAACUGAAAGUGAUAACACUUGAUUUUGACCACUUUCAUGGAUCACUUUUAGUAUCUUAUACAGGUAUUUUCACUCAGUUUUAAAGGUUUUAUAAGUGUUUUCCAUGUUUUGGAGUUUUAAAAGGUUUUUCAGGAAACUUGGAACUUUGCAGUGCAUUUUGGAGCAAAAGUACAUUUUUAGAUAAAUUCAGACCGUCAGAAGUUUGGCAACCAAUGAAUACCUUUUCACCAUCCGAUCAUCCCCAAAUUUGGAGACAUUAUAGAGGAGACAACCAGCUUUCCAACACACUUGGAAUCAAAGCAAUCCAACUGUUAGAUCUCCAGAUAUCAUCAAUGCACUGAAAGCCGAUCAACACAAGUCCAGUCAAGCACAGGUGCUUUCACCCGCGGCCAGCCUUCUUCCCACCGCGGCUCAAGAGGUUUCACCCCCGGUAGAUCUAUGUCCAAACCUCAGGAGCCCAACUAAGGCCCAAGACACUUCCUGUACCCAAUUUACAAGCCCUAGACGCCCAGACUUGGAGAAACACUAUAAAUACUCAUUUUUAUGUCUUUUGUAAGAAAGCCUCUUUCUUCUCUUUGAGAGAGAACUCAUUUGUAGUUUUAGGUUUUAUUUUUAGGGAAAAUUGGAAAUUUAAGACAAAAAAUGGAAGAACUUAUCCUCUUAGUAUUU